AUUACUCUCUCAUAGAUUGAGUUAACGAUUUGUAUACAACAAAAUAGCAUCAGAUGGACGCACAAAAGGCACAUGUCUUAACAUUGCACACUCAUAAUGGAUUAGUUUCUUUUUUUUUAUUAAGAUAUAGUUUCAAUUUCACUACACUUGAUCAUUGUUGCAAAAGCACUCAUAAAAGAUAAAAGAAAUAACUAAUUAUCAAAAUCAUUUGCAUCCCCCCGGGGGACAAUGAUAGAUAUAGUCUUCGAGAGCUUUCUUUAGCUUCGCAAUCAAACACUCUUCCCUUGUAAUCCCUGAGCAAUCAACAAUGUCUGGUGAUGCUGUAGGAUUACUGGAAAAUGACGCAUCUGCGGUAGAUCCUUGGCCAAUAUGAUUGGCUAAAAUAAGUCUACUUUCAGUGUUUGCCACUACGAGCAAAGCCAAGAUGAUGAAACUAAGGCUCUUCGACAUAUUUCUAUUUCUUAGGUGAAUUAUCAAUAACUUAAUUAGAAGUAUAAGAGAUCUACAUCAAUCAGGGCAGCAUAAGUCUCUAUUUAUAUGAAUGAAUAUUGAGAAACGAGUUGCAGUGACUUUAAUGGAAUUGAAAGAUUCCAUAAAUGAGGAUUAAAUAAAUUAUGUUGUGUUUGUUUAAAUUAACUACUGACUUUAAUAUCAUGUUGCAUUACGACGACAAUUUUAACAUACAUUAAAUUAAUUUGAUCGUUUUUAGUGUUAUUAUUAUGUUUAGUUUAUUGUUAGAUUCUUUCUCAUUAUAUCAAUCGUCAAACUAUUGUUUUAAUAUGUAAGGCGUUUCUAGAAGCCACGCCCUCCAACGAAAUUAACCACAUCCUAUUUUAAGCAAGUCAGUGACACAAUCAAUCCUGUAUAUUUGCAUGGAUAUACAGUAAUACUUCUAUAAAUUAAUAAUAAAUAAAUCAUGCAACAUCUAUUAAUUUAAAGAGAUAUUGAUAUUAAUCAAUCAAUAAGUUGUAUAAGAGAUUAUGUUUUAUAAUUGUAUGGUCACAUUCUUACUAUAAAAUAAUAAUUUACUGGGCUUACAAACAUAAUUGUUAUAAUAUGUUAUUAAAUAAAACAUGACUCGAUUAUUAUUUGUUUUUCUUCAAAUCUAAACAUAGUGGGAUCUCAUCUCAGAUAUUACUUAUUCCUGUUGAAUUCAAAACAACAAGAAUUCUCUUUUUUUUUUGUUAAUUGUAAUCUAUAUUUAGGGGAUUAAUUAAUUUUGAAUUGGCUAUGUUGGUAAAAUACUACGAAUUAUCUAGUUGAUUAAAUAUAUGUUCACUUAAUUGUAUAUACACUCUAUAAAUUAAAAGAUUAUUAACUUAUAGAUUAAUUAAUAUCAGUAUCUCUUUAUAUUAAUAGAAUUGUAUGAUUUUGAUAUUAAUUUAGAGAGGCUGUAUUGUAUAUCCAUGAGAUUCUACAGCAGCGGCAGACCAUUUGAAAAAAAAAAGUACCGGAUAAUUUUACAUUAAUUUUCCUCCAAGUAUACGCAUUUUAACUUCUCACUAACAGCAAAUCAAUAAAGCACCUCAAAUGCAAUUACAUCAAUCUCUAUAACAAUGUCAAAUAUCCAAUAUCAUCAAGUUGAAAUUCUAAUAUAAGCAUUAUGUACUGAGUCCGAAUAUUAUAGAACCAACAUUUUUUUAAAGUGAAAUUUAACAUGAUCAAAAGAAACAAACAACAUUAGUGUUAAAGACGCUGAAUUUACAGAAACCAUUUAUUAAAAAAUAAAUUAAUGUAAUUAUCUAUGAUAGAAUUAAAGAGAGGAUGUGCUGAUAUUAUAUUGAAGCUGUUUUUGUUCAGCUACAUGGCCGCCGCCACCACUAUCAUAAGACAGGCCAAAAACAACAAAGUAAAUGCUAGAGUGAGGAAAAGGAUACUUUUGCUAAUUAAGUAAAUUAAUUAAAAGGUGAUGGCUGAAAAGAUAUUUUGAGAAGGUUCAAUAUCACCACUCGAAAAAUGGCACAUAAUCAGUCGUACACAUUUAUUCAAUAUAAAACGACCAAGUCCAAGCCAAGCUUCAUCAGUACUCAAUCAUUUUUGUGAAUCAUCAAAUUAUCUGUUAAUAUCAUUUUACACAAAUAUUGAAAAGUUUUAGAUUAAGAUUCGUGUAAUAAUGCAAUAUGCAAACAGUAGAAAGCAUUAUCUGACAUAAAUGUGGAGGAAAAAUUACUGUAACUCACCAGAGCAUUGAACCAAAUCUAAAAGCAUUAAUUAAACUAUAAUAAAAGCUCAAGAUAUUAUGAGCAUCGACAUUAAUUACUGGAUGGUAUGUACGCAAAGUUUAAAUAAUUAAUUGCUCAAGUAUGGAUAAUUUAAAGCAUUUAUAUUGGACGUAAUUCUUGUUGAUUUUGUUCAAUACUUUGGAUCAAUUGGUUUUCAUAGUGUUAUACACACCAAGCAUAUCGGCUACCUUGGCAAUUGCUCAAGUGGGGAAGAGGUGGAAUUCAUUAGCGAGCUAGCUACCAGUUAGCCUCCAAGUGUCCCUGUACUACCACAAAGUUACAGGAGAAUUAGCUGCAGGCUUCAUUGGACUCAUCAUCUCCUUGCUUUUGCUUCAUUAUUCAUCCAUACAGCAGUGUUGAAUCCCCUACUUGUUCAAAGAGGUGAUUCACUAGCUCAAGUCUUUUUGGUCACCCACUUUAAGAAUUUAUUUCUUCUUUUUAUGAUGCUUCCUAUCUAAUAAGAGUGUGUGAAUUGGAGAUUGUAUUUGUUUAAUUCAUAACAUCCCAAAAACAUUGCAGAAGAGAGACAAAAUAAGAAAAGUUGAAUACUAAAUACAUUAACGAAAAUUCCUUGAACUAAUUAAUCUUACAUGUUAUUCUUCAUGCUAACCACAUAUGGGUCUUGAAUUUGUAGGAGUCAAUAGCAUUAGGCGCACACACAAAAACCACAUGACAUAAUAUUUCGUACUCAUAAUGGAUUAAUUUCUACUUUUAUUAAAACACAGUUUUAAUUCCACUACAAUUGAUCAUUAUUGCAAAAGGACUCAUAAAAGAUAAAAGAAAUAACUGAUUAUCAAGUUCAUUUGCAUCCCCUUGCGGAACAAGGGUAGAUAGAGUCUUUGAGAGCCUAUUUUAACUUUUCAAUCAAACACUCUUCCCUAGUAAGUCUUGAGCAAUCAAUAAUUUUAGGCGACGAUGAAACUAAAAAUCUUUGACAUUUUUAUAUUUCAUUAGUAGGUUGGCCACAAGUUUACCUCCAAGCACCUUAAUACGGUGACCAAAUUAAAGCAGCAUUAGUUAUUGGCUUCACUAGACUCAUUAUCUACUUGUUGCUACUUUUCUAUUCAAUCCACAUAGUAGGCUUGAAUCCCCCAGCUUGCUCAAAAGACUUAAUUUAUUGCCACAAGUUUUUUUGGCCACCCAAUUUGAGAAUUUGCUUCUUCUUUUUAUGAUGCUUCCCAUCUAAUAAGAGCGUGUGAUUAAGAACUUGUAUUUGUUUAAUUCAUAACAUCUCAAGAGCAUUACAAAAGAAAGACCGAAAAAGAAAAGCUGAAACUGACAACACUGAUUAAAAUUCCUACUUGUUAUUCUUAGUAAUAACAACAUCUAGGUCUUAAAUUUGCAGGAGCCAACAUGAUAAAGCCUAUAUUUUGCAUCAUUAAGUGAUUAAUCUUAUUGUUAUCUCUGUUUUCACUAUUGUCUUAUCAAAAACAAUUUCUUACCAUACUAGCUGCAUAAAAAUUAACAAACUAACAUAUUAUCAUUUUAAGUCAUCAAUCAAGUAUAAAUAUUAUAUUAUUUAGUUAUAUAACAAGAAUAAAGAAAUAUCUAAAUUUCAAAGAAAAAUCUUAAAUUAAAGCCAAACUAGCCAUCGCAAAUAAAUAAAAUAGUACAUAUUUGUAUUUAGAAGCAACUGCUUGAAACAAUUUUGUAAUUACUAACAAGUUUUUCUUAAAUGAAAUAAAAUAACAUAAAAUAAAAGAAAUUAAAAGCCAAUAUUUUUAUUUUCAAGUGAUGAAAUUAAAAUUAUGGUAACAAUUACAUGUGACUUCUGUUGUGCGGCUUAGCCAACAAAUUGUCAAUUUACUUGCAUUAAUUUUUUUUCAUCUUGAACACAAUUUGUGAAUCCGCCAUGACAACAUUGCAUCUAAUUAGAGAAAGACUUUUGUUUUUUUAGUAGAUGAGGUCAAUAUGUGCCAGAAUAAUAGGAAAAUUUUGUUAUAUUAACUGGGCGAACUUCAAUUCAUUCUCCUGCCAAUAAAAAUCUUCAAUUUACCCUUCAAAAUCGUGAAAACCUCAACUUACCUCAAUUUUUGUUCAGAAGAUAAGCGUAAAUGAAUUUUUUAAUCUAUUUUUUUAGUAAUAAAAUGGGUAAGAUGAUGUGUUCACGUUUUUUGGGGUAAAAUUGAUAUUUUCAUAAUUUAAAUUGAAGUCUAUACAUAAAUUAGUUCAGGCAAUUAAAUUGAAUUUUUCCCUUAAAUUAACUCAAACAGUUUAGUAAUAUAAGAUUUUGAUAAAAUACAAGGGUUUUUUUUUCCCUUUUUGUGAGGAUGCAGCCUCACCCAAAGAGGAAAUGGAUUGAACGUUCAAAUAUUACUAGUAUUAACACAGUAAUAAUGAUCAUUAUUAGUAUUUCAACAGAUUACUCUCUCAUAGAUUGAGUUAACGAUUUGUAUACAACAAAAUAGCGUCAGAUGCACGCACAAAAGGCACAUAUCAUAACAUUGCACACUUAUAAUGGAUUAGUUUCUUUUUUUUAUUAAGAUAUAGUUUCAAUUUCACUACACUUGAUCAUUGUUGCAAAAGCACUCAUAAAAGAUAAAAGAAAUAACUUAUUAUCAACAUCAUUUGCAUCCCCCCGGGGGACAAUGAUAGAUAUAGUCUUCGAGAGCUUUCUUUAGCUUCGCAAUCAAACACUCUUCCCUUGUAAUCCCUGAGCAAUCAACAAUGUCUGGUUAUGCUAUAGGAUUACUGGAAAAUGACGCAUCUGCUGUAGAUCCUUUUGCCAAUAUGAUUGGCUAAAAUAAGUCUACUUUCAGUGUUUGCCACUACGAGCAAAGCCAAGAUGAUGAAACUAAGGCUCUUCGACAUAUUUCUAUUUCUUAGGUGAAUUAUCAAUAACUUAAUUAGAAGUAUAAGAGAUCUACAUCAAUCAUGGCAGCAUAAGUCUCUAUUUAUAUGAAUGAAUAUUGAGAAACGAGUUGCAGUGACUUUAAUGGAAUUGAAAGAUUCCAUAAAUGAGGAUUAAAUAAAUUAUGUUGUGUUUAUUUAAAUUAACUAUUGACUUUAAUAUCAUGUUGCAUUACGACGACAAUUUUAACAUACAUUAAAUUAAUUUGAUCGUUUUUAGUGUUUUUAUUUUGUUUAGUUUAUUAUUAGAUUCUUUCUUAUUAUAUCAUCGUCAGGCUAUUUUUUUAAUAUGUAAAGACAUUUCUACAAUCCACGCCCUCCAAUGAAAUUAACCACAUCCUAUUUUAAGCAAGCCAGUGACACAAUCAAUCCUAUAUGUUUGCAUGGAUAUACAGUAAUACUUCUAUAAAUUAAUAAUAAAGAAAUCAUACAACAUCUAUUAAUUUAAAGCGAUAUUGAUAUUAAUCAAUCAAUAAGUUGUAUAAGAGAUUAUGUUUUAUAAUUGUAUGGUCACAUUCUUACUAUAAAAUAAUAAUUUGCUAGGCUUACAAACAUAAUUGUUAUA
rnacentral:lncRNA from 1 species